UUUCUGGGUGACUUUGAUUGUAGGCAAUAGAUGCGACCAUUGGCUGGAUGACUUUUGGCUUCUGAUUUUGCUUUGUCUGUUUGACAAAUAGCUCUUGGCCUUAGCUGUGGAUAUGAUGUUACUAUCCUUUGUUUGUUUGGUCUAAAUUAAUUUAAAGCAUAUAAUUUGAUUUAGUCAUGUUAAAUUGUAGUUGAUACUGAACAUGAAAAUUCAAUAUUAAAAAAUCAAAUUUGUGAGUUUAUUUAUGUAUAUAUUUUAUAUUGAACUUUUUUUUACCAAUAUGUUGCACUAAGAUUUUCAAUUUUGGUCUGUGUUCGUAGAAGGCCAACCGUGAGAAUGAAGUUAUAAUUUAUGAAGGAUUGUCGUGGUAGGCAUCCUUCUUGAUGCUUUUGAUGUAUCAAUUGAGUAGGAUGCUAGUUUAUCGUUUCUGUUAUGAUCUAUAGUACAUGAACAAAUAGUAGGCAGUGUAUCAUAUUCAGCUAGGUGUCUUCCUAAUGAUUCUGCUUUUUGUUAAAAUCUUUUUAUGCAUUUGCUUCACAGUCCUACGAGUCUGAGUCAUCUAUGAUGUUUUAGCUCUCCUGAUUUGUCACACGAUAUGGUGACGUUAUAAUUUGCUGUUGUUCUAGUGAAUCCCCACUUAGUAGUUUCACUUUGAUUGUGAACUUGUAUACUUUUAAUUAAUUGUGACUUCCUUGAUAGUGUUCUGGCCUACAUCGACCAACUUGUAUUUUGACAACUAAAGGGUGCCUGCUUAACCUUGUAUUCUUUUCCUGUUUUCUUUAUGGCUUGUAUGUGGCUAGACAUAAAAAAGGUUAACAUAACAGGUACUUCAGUUCCAUUUUCUUCAUGCUCGCACUUGAUUUUGAACAUUUUUAUUUUGUCAUUCUGGCUUUCAUUGCUAGCAUGUUGCCGAAGGAGAAUUUAAUUUUGGAAUUAUUACGUAGUUGUUUGAGUGUCAUUCUGGUCUUUGAAAGUUUGCUUUGCAGGGCUGGAUGCUUGUUCCGCUUCUUUGACAUGAUUGUUUGUAUCAAUUUGUAGUUUUUUUAGGAUCUUUGUUUCUUUCCCUUUACAUUCAGCUGCUGUUUUAUGGAUAGAUUUUGAAAAUUGCCUAUUGAUUUUUUUUUUUUUUAUUCGUUGAAUUCUAGCAAAUUUGAAAGAUAAGUCAAACAAUGUGCUUAUAUAGGGUUUGCUGCAACUUAUGCUGGAAUAUCCUUCAGCAUUUGAAGCCAGACAUGGAUGAUUAGUUUUUUCGUAAAAUUAGAUGGAUUUUUAUUCAUUUGUUGGUUGGAAAAUUGUUUGAUGUCAAUGUUUGUUUGAAGAAUAAUUUCUUUUACUUUAUUUAGUUUACUGGAAAAAGUUGUUUCAAUUUGGAGAUAUUCAAAUAUGACAUUAUCGUAAUAAAAAAAAUUCCAGAAAAUAACAAAUAAAACGUCAUUUAUACACGUUGGUGGAUUUCUUGAAGGGCUAAGUUGGGCCUGGCUUAUCAAUCUUACGUAUUAUCAAAAUCAAUUAAUUAUAUAAGCCAUGGCUCUUCACCUUCUUGUAGCUGUAGGUUUGUCUCCGACUCUCCGUUGCCCUUCAUGAAAGAGUUGGCUCUGCUCUGUUUCUCUCUCCUUUUUUUGAUGAGUUUAUCCUUUGACUGAAAAAACAAGGGCAAGUUGGCGGAAUAUUUUCGUAAAACGCCUAAUCUUUUGAAGUUAUUAUGAUUUUGCCAACACAUAACUUGCUCCUCUCUGAACGACUGCGGAGCCGAUGAUUUCACCGUCGGUUUAUAAAACAACCACGUAUGUGUAUGUAUGUAUAUUGUCAAUUAUUACUCUCUCUGUUCCAUUAAUACUAUAUUACCAGCGUAAUCUUGAUCGGAGAUCUGAUACGUUCAAUCUCUGCCAAGGUUCUGUUGCUGCUUACAAAGAGGCUAUGACGACUCUUAUUUUCUAGAGUGCAAGAUCCAAACGUUAAAGGAACAAUUUCGAUUGUUUGGCGGGGCAAUGUGAAUAUUUUUCCAUCUCUUGUAGAUAGAUCCCAUCAUUGCAGCCACAUUCGCUUUGUUCCUUUUGUUGUUUGAUUAAAGGCGAAUCUGAGCCUCACUUCAUCUCUUUCUUUCUCUCUCUUUUUAAUACAUUGCAAAAUUUUAGCUCAUUAGUUUGAGAACGAGGUUUUGCUCUCAGUGAGGUUGAGGGUUUCAGGGUGGUGAUAAGAAGCGAAGCCUGUGAUUUGUCCCUUAUUUUGCCAACAGCCCCUUCUCCCUGUACAUACAGAGAGGCCAAUGCAUAAAUUUUACCCUGAACACUGCACUUUUACCCUUUUUUUGGAUGGAAUGAUUAGAAGGUUUAGUAACUUAACGAGGCUAUGAUGAUAUUAUCAGUGACCUAAAAUCAGACUAGAAAAGAAACACCCAUCGUCUGGUGGGGGUAGCCUUCGGAAGUAGUGGCUUAAUUUCACUCUUCCCUGAGGUUAGAUAACCUUUAGCAGUCCUUAAAUACAGGUUUUACCCUGGUAGCUCUUGGCUGCAGCCAUGAUGUGGUGGUGUUUCUUUCUUGUUUGAUACAAAGGCUUAUAUGAUCCGAGCCUCCAUUUCUCCAAAUCUCUCUCAUUUUAGGUUCUGCUUGUUUCCGGGGAUAUAUUUCAAUCAAAGGGUGAGGCUUCGCUCUUGGAGAGCUACUCUGAUUGAUUGCAGAGCUGACCCUUGUCAAUAUCUAUAUCCAUCUUUCUAUCAUAUCUGUCUUUCUCUUGUGUGUCUUUGCAUGGCUGAGAUGAUGCUGUUAUUUUUCUAGUGAAAAUUAGACAAUUGAAGGAACACUAGUGACCAUUGGGUGGGUGACUCGUGAGCUUCUGACAUUGAGCUCUUUUGUUGCAGCCAUGG